rnacentral:rRNA from 1 species
UCUACGGGUGGCAGCAGUGGGGAAUAUUGCACAAUGGGGGAAACCCUGAUGCAGCGACGCCGCGUGAGUGAAGAAGUAUUUCGGUAUGUAAAGCUCUGUCAGCAGGGAAGAAACUAGCCGGUACCUGACUAGGAGGCCCCGGCUAACAACGUGCAAGCAGCGGCGGUAAGAGGUAGGGGCCAAGCGUUAUCGGGUUUUAUGGGGGGUAAAGGGAGCGUAGAGGGUAGGGCAAGUCUGAAGUGAAAGCCGAGGCCUUAACCCUGGGACGGCUUUGGAAACUGUUAGACUGGAGUGCAGGAGAGGUAAGUGGAAUUCCUAGUGUAGCGGUGAAAUGCGUAGAUAUUAGGAGGAACACCAGUGGCGAAGGCGGCUUACUGGACAGUAACUGACGUUGAGGCUCGAAAGCGUGGGGAGCAAACAGGAUUAGAUACCCGAGUAGUC